GAUGAACGCUGGCGGCGUGCCUAAUACAUGCAAGUCGAGCGAACAGACGAGGAGCUUGCUCCUCUGACGUUAGCGGCGGACGGGUGAGUAACACGUGGAUAACCUACCUAUAAGACUGGGAUAACUUCGGGAAACCGGAGCUAAUACCGGAUAAUAUAUUGAACCGCAUGGUUCAAUAGUGAAAGACGGUUUUGCUGUCACUUAUAGAUGGAUCCGUGCCGCAUUAGCUAGUUGGUAAGAUAACGGCUUACCAAGGCAACGAUGCGUAGCCGACCUGAGAGGGUGAUCGGCCACACUGGAACUGAGACACGGUCCAGACUCCUACGGGAGGCAGCAGUAGGGAAUCUUCCGCAAUGGGCGAAAGCCUGACGGAGCAACGCCGCGUGAGUGAUGAAGGUCUUCGGAUCGUAAAACUCUGUUAUUAGGGAAGAACAAAUGUGUAAGUAACUAUGCACGUCUUGACGGUACCUAAUCAGAAAGCCACGGCUAACUACGUG
rnacentral:rRNA from 1 species